GCCCAGUCGGGGCUAUUGAAACGGCGGG
rnacentral:sRNA from 1 species